AUUUCCAUGGGUAGUGUUAUGAGCCUGGUGAUAGUUUGACAAGGCUUUGGUAUAGGUUGUUGUGUUAGUAUUUCCAUGGGUAGUUUUAUGAGCCUGGUGAUAGUUUGACAAGGCUUUGGUAGAGGUUGUUGUGUUAGUAUUUCCAUGGGUAGUGUUAUGAGCCAAGUGAUAGUUUGACAAGGCUUUGGUAGAGGUUGUUGUGUUAGUAUUUCCAUGGGUAGUGUUAUGAGCCGAGUGAUAGUUUGACAAGGCUUUGGUAGAGGUUGUUGUGUUAGUAUUUCCAUGGGUAGUGUUAUGAGCCUGGUGAUAGUUUAACAAGGCUUUGGUAGAGGUUGUUGUGUUAGUAUUUCCAUGGGUAGUGUUA